GCACAAGCGGUGGAUGAUGUGGUUUAAUUCGAUGCAACGCGAAAACCUUACCCACCUUUGACAUGGCAGGAAUCCCGAAGAGAUUUGGGAGUGCUCGAAAGAGAACCUGCACACAGGUGUUGCAUGGCUGUCGUCAGCUCGUGUCGUGAGAUGUUGGGUUAAGUCCCGCAACGAGCGCAACCCUUGCCAUUAGUUGCUACGAAAGGGCACUCUAAUGGGACUGCCGGUGACAAACCGGAGGAAGGUGGGGAUGACGUCAAGUCCUCAUGGCCCUUAUAGGUGGGGCUACACACGUCAUACAAUGGCCGGUACAGAGGGUAGCCAACCCGCGAGGGGGGAGCCAAUCCCACAAAGCCGGUCGUAGUCCGGAUCGCAGUCUGCAACUCGACUGCGUGAAGUCGGAAUCGCUAGUAAUCGCGGAUCAGCAUGUCGCGGUGAAUACGUUCCCGGGUCUU
rnacentral:rRNA from 1 species